rnacentral:rRNA from 1 species
CUUACACAUGCAAGUCGAACGGCAGCGCGGGUGCUUGCACCUGGCGGCGAGUGGCGAACGGGUGAGUAAUACAUCGGAACGUGCCCUAGAGUGGGGGAUAACUAGUCGAAAGAUUAGCUAAUACCGCAUACGAUCUACGGAUGAAAGUGGGGGACCGCAAGGCCUCAUGCUCCUGGAGCGGCCGAUGUCUGAUUAGCUAGUUGGUGGGGUAAUAGCCUACCAAGGCGACGAUCAGUAGCUGGUCUGAGAGGACGACCAGCCACACUGGGACUGAGACACGGCCCAGACUUCUACGGGAGGCAGCAGUGGGGAAUUUUGGACAAUGGGGGCAACCCUGAUCCAGCAAUGCCGCGUGUGUGAAGAAGGCCUUCGGGUUGUAAAGCACUUUUGUCAGGAACGAAACGGUGGGGGCUAAUACCUCCUGCUAAUGACGGUACCUGAAGAAUAAGCACCGGCUAACUACGUGCCAGCAGCCGCGGUAAUACGUAGGGUGCGAGCGUUAAUCGGAAUUACUGGGCGUAAAGCGUGCGCAGGCGGUUGUGCAAGACAGAUGUGAAAUCCCCGGGCUCAACCUGGGAAUGGCAUUUGUGACUGCACGGCUAGAGUGUGUCAGAGGGGGGUAGAAUUCCACGUGUAGCAGUGAAAUGCGUAGAUAUGUGGAGGAAUAUCCGAUGGCGAAGGCAGCUCCCUGGGAUAACACUGACGCUCAUGCACGAAAGCGUGGGGAGCAAACAGGAUUAGAUAC